rnacentral:rRNA from 1 species
AGAGUUUGAUCAUGGCUCAGGACGAACGCUGGCGGCGUGCCUAACACAUGCAAGUCGAACGGGAUCCACGCCAUGAAGUUUUCGGAUGGAUUGGUGUGGUGAGAGUGGCGAACGGGCGAGUAACGCGUGAGCAACCUACCUCGUACUGGGGGAUAACGUCGGGAAACCGGCGCUAAUACCGCAUAAGACUACGAUGCCGCAUGGCAAUGUAGUCAAAGCUCCGGCGGUACGAGACGGGCUCGCGUCCGAUUAGCUAGUUGGUAGGGUAAUGGCCUACCAAGGCGACGAUCGGUAGCCGGACUGAGAGGUCGGCCGGCCGCAUUGGGACUGAGACACGGCCCAGACUCCUACGGGAGGCAGCAGUGGGGAAUAUUGCGCAAUGGGGGAAACCCUGACGCAGCGACGCCGCGUGAA